GGAAUGGUUUCAGCGAUGCUCGACUAUAACGGCCCCAUCGACGUAAUCAACUUCUGGCUGCUGCAAAGAAGGAAAACAAAAGGUUUGGGGAUUAAUAAGGUGCCACAACAGUGGCGCACCUUCUCAUAUACCAGGCGCUUAGCGCCUGGUAUACU
rnacentral:rRNA from 1 species